UACGAAGGGGGCUAGCGUUGCUCGGAAUUACUGGGCGUAAAGCGCACGUAGGCGGUCUUUUAAGUCGGGGGUGAAAUCCUGGAGCUCAACUCCAGAACUGCCUUCGAUACUGGAAGACUUGAGUCCGGGAGAGGUGAGUGGAACUGCGAGUGUAGAGGUGAAAUUCGUAGAUAUUCGCAAGAACACCAGUGGCGAAGGCGGCUCACUGGCCCGGUACUGACGCUGAGGUGCGAAAGCGUGGGAGCAAACAGGG
rnacentral:rRNA from 1 species